UACGUAGGGUGCAAGCGUUAAUCGGAAUUACUGGGCGUAAAGCGUGCGCAGGCGGUGAUGUAAGACAGUUGUGAAAUCCCCGGGCUCAACCUGGGAACUGCAUCUGUGACUGCAUUGCUGGAGUGCGGCAGAGGGGGAUGGAAUUCCGCGUGUAGCAGUGAAAUGCGUAGAUAUGCGGAGGAACACCGAUGGCGAAGGCAAUCCCCUGGGCCUGCACUGACCGCUCAGUGCACGAAAGCGUGGGGA
rnacentral:rRNA from 1 species